rnacentral:rRNA from 1 species
UACAGAGGUGGCAAGCGUUGUUCGGAAUUACUGGGCGUAAAGGGCGCGUAGGCGGCCGCCUAAGUCAGACGUGAAAUCCCCAAGCUUAACUUGGGAACUGCGUCUGAUACUGGGUGGCUUGAGUUCGGGAGAGGAAUGUGGAAUUCCAGGUGUAGCGGUGAAAUGCGUAGAUAUCUGGAGGAACACCGGUGGCGAAGGCGGCAUUCUGGACCGAUAUUGACGCUGAGGCGCGAAAGCCAGGGGAGCAAACGGG